rnacentral:lncRNA from 12 species
AAAUCCCUCUCUCCGUGUGUGUCAGUGUGUGAUGAUGGAGAGCAUCAGUGUGACGUGUGCAGAGGUUCAGAGCUCAGGCGGGUUUGAGCUGAGAGUUCCUGCUGACAGACUCACUCUCUUCAGUCAGUCUGACUGUGAACCGCUCUGGUACUCACAGGACGGGCGUCUGAUAGCAGAUCCAUCAGAUCCUCAGAAACUGAUUGAUCCUGUUAUUUCUGUCUCUUCUGAUCGUCUCGUCACUUCUUACUGUGUGGAUGAACUUCGUCAUGAGAUCCGCUGCGAUGCUUCAGGGUUCAGACUGGAGACCGUGUUCAGAGUGAGGAAUGAAACUCCAGUGACUCCAGAUGUUCUGAAUGAAGUGACUCCAGAUCUGCAGCUCUCAGAUCAGUGGUGGUGGACUUCUGCUCUUCUCAUCUGCAUUGUUCUUCUGGUUUUGAUCUGUUUCUUGCUGCGUAAACGAAUCUUCAGAUGUUUUCAGAGGGAAGAGCCGUCCAUCUCUCAGCGUGAAGCUCCAGACAGCAGGGAUCUGGAGAAGCUCAGAUCUAAUGAUCCUCAAACUCCACAGGAAUCGGUUCAGUGAAUCAACAUCACAGUUGUUGGGAUAUAGCUACGACUGAAACCCUAAAGUCACAAAAUGAUGCUAUAGUUAGGCACGUGCACAUUAAAGGGGGCUUGAGCACCUGCCCUUUUUCUUCCUCCAGAAAAAGUGGUUUACUGUUACCCAGUCACCCCCCAAUCUCCCUGUCCCACCACCACCACUAAAAAUAAAAAAUAAAACUUUUUAUUGCUGUUGGUUUAUUAGUAAUUUAAAUAGUAAUUUAGUAAUAUUAAUACAGUGCACUCUAAAACUGGUCAACAGAUUAUUUUUCAAGUAGUCUACAGCAUGACUUCCAGGGUGUUCCAGUCCAUCAUUAUUACAGUUCUUUAUCAUUUCAACAAGUUUCUUUGGAAUUAUAUUCAUUGUGAAAAGUGCUUAAUUUAAUGUUUUAUUUUAUGCUUUUAUACACUGAUUGUAUUAUUUAGGAAGGGAAUUCUACUUCCUGCAAGUGGAUUUUUCAGCAUGUAGGCAGAGCUGGACUGGGGUUCAAAUUCAGCCCUGAACAUAACCAGCCCACGAGUUCCUCCAUGAAUGUUCUGCUGGGUUAUAGGGCCUUCAAGUGGAGUAAAUAAGUGAAUGAAUGAAUCAGGACAGAAACAAAUAAUGAUAGAUAUUACUGAAAUUCAAAGCAAAUGCAUUUUUGUCAGAUAGAAAUGCACUUGACAGUAAAGCAAUGAUUUUGAGAUAGAAUGACAAAAAAUAGGCCUACUUCUAAUAGAUUCUGUCAUCCUUUCCUCAUCCUCGAGUGAUUGCAAACCUGUAUGACUUACUUUCUUCUGUGGAACACAAAAGAAGAUAUUUUGUAGAAUGUUACCAAACCAUUUUGCUUAUACCUUUGAUUUCUACUGUAUGGACAAAAAUGUCUUGAGUUUCUCAAAUUAUCUUCUUUUUUUGUUCCAUAGUAGAAAGAAAUCACAGGUUUGGAAUGACAUGAUGUUGUGUAAAUGGUUAUUUUCUUUUUUGGUUGAAAUAUACCUUUAAGAACUUAAAACUUUGUAAAUAAUACACACCUAAUUUAUAAAAGAUCACAUCACAUCACCUCACCUCACCUCUUUUCACAUCUUAUCACAUAUCAUCUCAUUACAUCACAUCUCAUCUAAUCACAUCUCAUCACAUCUCAUCACAUCACAUCACAUCUCAUCACAUCUCAUCACAUCUCAUCUCAUCACAUCUCAUCUCAUCUCAUCACACCACAUCUCAUCACAUCUCAUCUCAUCACAUCUCAUCACUACUCAUCUAAUCACAUCUCAUCACAUCUCAUCACAUCUCAUCACAUCUCAUCUAAUCACAUCUCAUCUCAUCUCAUCACAUCACAUCUCAUCACAUAUCAUCUAAUCACAUCUCAUCACAUCUCAUCUCAUCACAUCUCAUCUCAUCUAAUCACAUCUCAUCACAUCACAUCUCAUCACAUCUCAUCUCAUCACAUCACAUUACAUCACAUCUCAUCUCAUCUAAUCACAUCUCAUCACAUCACAUCUCAUCACAUCUCAUCUCAUCACAUCUCAUCUCAUCUCAUCCCACCACAUCUCAUCACAUCUCAUCUCAUCACAUCUCAUCACUACUCAUCUAAUCACAUCUCAUCACAUCUCAUCACAUCUCAUCACAUCUCAUCUCAUCACAUCUCAUCUAAUGACAUCUCAUCACAUCUCAUCUCAUCACAUCACAUCACAUCUCAUCUCAUCACAUCUCAUCUAAUUACAUCUCACCACAUCUCAUCUCAUCACAUCACAUCACAUCACAUCUCAUCUAAUCACAUCUUAUCACAUCUCAUCACAUCACAUCUCAUCACAUCUCAUCUAAUCACAUCUCAUCACAUCUCAUCUCAUCUCAUCACAUCUCAUUUAAUCUAAUCUAAUCUAAUCACAUCACAUCACAUCUCAUCACAUCUCAUCUCAUCUCAUCUCAUCUCAUCUAAUCUAAUCACAUCUCAUCUCAUCUCAUCUAAUCUAAUCUAAUCACAUCACAUCACAUCUCAUCUCAUCUCAUCACAUCUCAUCACAUCACAUCUCAUCUCAUCACAUCUCAUCUCAUCUCAUCUAAUCUCAUCACAUCACAUCUCAUCACAUCUCAUCUCAUCUCAUCUCAUCUCAUCGCAUCUCAUCACAUCACAUCUAAUCACAUCUCAGCACAUCACAUCACAUCACAUCUCAUCUCAUCUCAUCUCAUCUCAUCUCAUCUAAUCACAUCUCAUCACAUCACAUCUCAUCUCAUCACAUCACAUCACAUCACAUCUCAUCUCAUCUCAUCUAAUCUAAUCACAUCUCAUCUCAUCACAUCUCAUCUCAUCUCAUCUCAUCACAUCUCAUCACAUGCUGUCACCUACUGGCGGUUUUAAUUUCACAUUUAAAAUAUCUUUUCAUUUUUUUUUUAUAAUUUCAAAUAUCAGUAUUCACCGUUUUAUGUUUAAAAUAUCAAAAACAGCAGUUUACUUCCUGUUUGCACCUUGAGAAGAUGAUGCUGCAUCAAAGCUCCAAAACUAAGGGCUAGUAAAGUAUGUUAACAUAAAGAUAUGACAAAGAGUUUUGGUACACGUUAUCUUUAAGGUAUCUAGUAUUAAUAUAUGAAUUCACAUAUAUUUAGUUUUGUUGAGUGUGGUCACAGAAUGAGUAAACACUGGGAUAAUAGUGAACUUGUACAAUACAAAUCCAACUGCAGUUCUUUCUGACAUUAAUGACACUAAAAUGUUGCAAUGACAAAAUAUUGCACUAAACUAAAAGUUCAAAUGUUACAUAUAAGUUACAAUAUUGAUGUUGUAAUACUCGUAGCACUAAUAUAACAAAUUGAUGAUAUAUUUUACAAAAAAAGGUAACAAAUGCUUUGAUGGUUGUAUUUUUUUGUCUUUUAUCUCAAUAUUGCUAUCAGUGUUGUGUAGGGUUUUUAAUGCAUUCCUCAUGUCUGGGGAAAAAAUUGGGAUUAAACGGGUUUAAAAAAAUGCUACUUCUAAUGUAGCUUCUGUGUUUCUCUGCAUUGCAAUGAUUAAUUUUGUCAAAACUGAUUUCAUUUGCUUGGUAACAGCCCAAAUGACUUUUUAUUCUAAUUGACUGAUUCAAUUCAAGAAUUUGACUGAAAAGAUGAUGCACACUUUUAGAAAAAGGGGCUUUAUAAAGGUAAAAUCCCCAUAAAAUCAAUUUAAACGUAUUGGACGAGAUUAAUUUCUGUCACUGCUGUGAAUUGAGCAUCACACAGAAUAUGAAGAAUAUCAAACAC